GGGGAUAUAGCUCAGUGGUACAGUGCAUGCUUAGCAUGCACAAGGUCUUGGGUUUAAUCCCCAGUACUUCCA
rnacentral:tRNA from 1 species